rnacentral:rRNA from 1 species
CAGCAGCCGCGGGAAUACGAAGGGGGCUAGCGUUGUUCGGAAUUACUGGGCGUAAAGCGCACGUAGGCGGAUACUUAAGUCAGGGGUGAAAUCCCGGGGCUCAACCCCGGAACUGCCUUUGAUACUGGGUAUCUCGAGUCCGGAAGAGGUGAGUGGAAUUCCGAGUGUAGAGGUGAAAUUCGUAGAUAUUCGGAGGAACACCAGUGGCGAAGGCGGCUCACUGGUCCGGUACUGACGCUGAGGUGCGAAAGCGUGGGGAGCAAACAGGAUUAGAUACCCGUGUAGUCCCUGUCUCUUAUAC